AUGGCGGACAUGAUCCUGGGCUCCGCCCAGGGCGCCGUUGACUCUCUGCUGGGGCGCCUCACAUCGGCCCUCGUCGACGAGGCGCAGCUGCUCGGCGGCGUCCGCGGCGACGUGCAGUUCAUCAAGGACGAGAUGGAGAGCAUGAACGGCUUCCUCCUCCACGUCGCGGAGGCCGACGAGGAGGACCACCAGGUCGGAGCGUGGAUGAAGCAAGUCGCGGAGGUCGCGUACGCCUCCCAAAACAGCAUCGACCUGUACAUCCAGAGCAUCGGCGCUGGCCGCAGGCAGCCAGGCCUCCUAGGCUACCUGAGCCGGCUGCCCAAGCUGGUGUGGACCCUGCCGACGCGUCACCGCAUCGCCAAUCAGAUCCGGGAGCUCAAGAUCCGGGCCUGCGAGGUGGGGGAGAGGCGCAUGAGGUACGACGUCAAAGUGCCCGAUAAUAGCAACCGUCAUCACGCGAAUGGUAGCAAGGCAGGAUGGCAAGCUGCCGGAAAUGAUGACACCAACGAGCAAGAAGAUGCUCGACGGCGCGUAUUGGCUGAUGCUCUCUUGACUCUCACCGCGGACGCCUUUAUGGGUGACGACAUUGCUGCUUACUUCCCUCAGGCCGACGAGAUUCAUAAGGAUAAGGGUACCUUCUAUAAGGGUGCCUUGAUAAAGUUGAUGAAGGAUGUAGGAGAGGACCAUGGCGGUGACGGGCAACACAACCUUAAAGUUCUAGCAGUUGUAGGAAAGGGCGGCAUGGGCAAAACAUAUACUGCAGAGAGCGCUUGCCGAGAUCCUUCUGUCGUGAGCUCAUUUGACUGCAAGACUUGGAUUACCUUAGGGUAUAGACCAACUCAAGCGGCCCUGUUUUUCCGGCAGGUCCUGGAAGGACUAGCCAGUCCAGCAGAUCAGUUCGACUUGGUUGCCAAGGAGGAAGGGCUUAUGGCACAGCUUCAGCUGCACCUGAAAGGUAAAAGAUUCUUGCUCGUGCUUGAUGAUGUCUGGGAUAGAUCUCUAUGGAAUCUCAUCAAAUCUGCUUUCCCCCAUGAGAAUUGCGCUCCUGGUAGUGUCAUACUGAUUACCACACGUUCGACUGAUGUGGCCUUCUCAUUUUCUCCCAAUGAAUACUUGGAUAUGAACACUGAUAGUUAUUUCUACUCAUCCAACGCAAUGAACCUCAUGAACAGCAACAACAAAAGCAUUGAUCUGCAGCUUGUUUUGCGGGACAUUGUCUCAAAGCCCCAGACAGUCAGGUUGUUUCUGCGUGCUCUCUAUGUCAAUCCUAACAGGACCAUAGCUGAUUUGCGGAGUCUGUGCGAAAAGCUGGACAACUCCACCACGUUAUCAUCGAACAAUGCAAGGGAGCUACUAAAGUUCUGUAAUCUGACUAGCAACUGCAAGAAUUGUUUGCUAUAUCUGGCUAUUUUCCCUGAAGAUACCAUCUUUGAACGGACAAGGUUGGUAAGACGAUGGGCCAGUGAAGGCAUGACUGCUAAAAGAGGCCGACUAAGUGCACUAGAUGAAGCUGACCACUGUUUUGAUCUGCUUGUCGCCCACGGGUUUCUUACACCAAGGUACAUGGAUGUUACAGGAAAGGUGAAGAGCUGUACAAUGGGUGCCGUCAACUUUGACAUUGUUACACAGAUUGCAAGAGAAGAUGAUUUUGUAAAGAACAGCCAUUACCCUGACUUGGCUCAUCGCCUUUCUCUUCACUAUGAAAUCCAACCGCACCAAGCUGAGAAGGAACUACAUGGAACUCGGUCGAAAGCCUGUUGGAAUAUUUGUGGCCAUUUGAAACGAAGUGACCAAACAAUAAUUGAACAAUCCAAUGCCACCGAACAGUUUUUGCAGUCGCUUCCUUCGUCGACCCACUUGGGGAUUCUGAAGGUUCUUGAUCUAGAAAACUGCAAUGAAUUGAAGGAUGGCCAUCUGAAAAACAUUUGCAGCCAUGUAUUCCACCUCAAGUACUUGAGCCUUCGGAAAACUGGCAUUACUCAACUACCCAAGCAGCUCGACAAGCUUCAGUCCCUAGAGACCUUGGACAUUCGUGAAACAAAAGUAAAAACUUUUGCCAAAAAUUCCCUUUUUCUGCCAAAGCUAAAGCAUCUGCUUGCUGGCCACCGCACUGAAGACACAACCCAAGGUGAUGUCCAAUCAAAAGAGACGUUUUCCACCGUGAAAAUGCCCAAAUAUAUCGGGAACAUGACAGAACUGCAGGUCCUAUCUCACAUUGCAGUUUCUGGUGACGGCAGUGAACUAAUUGAUGUUGGUAACCUACUCCAGCUGGUUAAGUUGGGUGUGGUUCUUUCUGGAAGCAAGAGAUCAGUCUUCUGGCAUUUGUACCAUGCAAUUGGAAAGCUUAGAAAAUGUUUUCGCUCACUCUCUAUCCGAGUCACAGAGCUAAUAACUGAUCAAGAGGACGGGAGCAUGAACAUGGAAGAGGCACCCCUCAUACAUCCCAAGUACCUUCAGAAGCUAAAAAUCAGUGGCCUGAAAAAUGGAUUGCCUUCAUGGAUUGAAAAGCUCAAGGUACUCACCAAAAUAACACUGCAUAUGACUUUCAUAACGGAUGAUGACUUCAAAAUCCUUGGCCGACUCACAAGCUUGUCCUGCCUUAGGCUCCAACAAGAGUCAUGCAAUGAAAGUACACUCACCUUCAGAAAAGAUGCAUUUCAAAGUCUCAAGUUCCUUGACAUUGAGUGCUCAGCCAUCACCAAUAUAAACUUCGGCAAUGAGGCCUGUCCUAAGCUGAGGAAGUUAGUUUGGUCUUCCACUGGUGAACAGUCUCUUUCCGGGAUUGAGUACCUUCCAAACCUCCAAGAGCUCAAGCUGACAGGCAGCUUUGACUUGGAAAGUGUGAAACAAGCAAUUGAAGCAAACAUGAACAAGCCUAUCUUGGUAACAAACUGA
rnacentral:rRNA from 1 species